UGAUUCACCCGGCCAAGCAGCUGCACUGCGUCCAUGACGUGCACAGGUUUCAGGAGGCCUCAUAACCCACUGAGGGUCCCUGCAGCACGCUGGUUAGAGUCUCGUGACUCAAAGUACUUAUCCCUGUUCUCUUUGAGUGUUUGUUUGUUGUGAAUUACACGCAGACAGAUUUCAGAUUUUCUAUUUUUGGUAUGACAUCUUUGCUUUUAAUUGCUAAAAGAUCAGAGGCAAACAGAAAAUGAGGAGGGGGAUGACAUGCAGCACAUUUCCUCAGUCUGAUUCAAACCAGGGACAUUGUUGUUUUCAUGGUAGGAGUCCUAGGUGUGAAGGAAAAUAGUGACACACUCUUAACCAAGAUAUAAAACAAAUAUUUGAUAACUUUCCAACGUUUCGACAUGACAGUCUUCUUUAGGGUGUUGAGGGACGAAAACACAGACAUUUAAUAAGACACAGGUGUGCUCUAUCAAGGGGAGUGUCCUCAAUGACAUUUACAUCAUGUAGCUCCCUGAUUCAUGUCAUUUAAAAAAGCAGUUUGAUCAAAGCCUUAGUUUAUACUGUGUAUCAAGGAACAUGUCUUUGUCAAUAUUAAAAGACAGCUGAACCUAAAGAUAUAAUAUGUAACUUUUCCACAUUAAUAUGUCUAAAAACAACUAGAACUGUGUUAUGUGUUGUGUUGAGUCGUGUACUUAUGUUCUCCAACAUGUUUCCUACUAUUUUAAAACCUAGAGAAAUACAUAAUUUAAACAAGGUGAUGGUGUAUUUCAUUCAGUCUUUCAGGUCUUACAAUCUUUCUUCUUUUUGAUUGAUCUGUUUUUAAUCUUUUUUGUAAUCUGUUUUUAUUACAUUAGUGUGGUAUUGGUUGGUUAGUAUAGGCUGAAAUAUCAAUGAUUUUGUGGGUGUCUAAUUAAAUGCUGAACCUUGGUGACAGCACAAACUGUAGGAUGGAUUUGACUUUAUGCUUCUGAAAGAAUCAACUUGAUCUUUUAUCUAUCAUAUUCAAUGACAAAACUGUUGCUUAGUGCAACACAAUUGUUUCUGUUUGUGUUCAUUCAUAUAUGAGAAAUAUAGAGAUCUAGAUGAUAGUAAUAACUUGGCUUAACUGGUUUCUUGUUAUUUACUCAACAAUUGUUUUGUUUUAAUCUACGCUGAUUCUAAAUGCAUGCAAUGUAUUUGAUAUGGUGUACUGUCCAAUAAACCUCAAUAAAAUACACGUUUGAGUCAAA